rnacentral:rRNA from 1 species
GAUGAACGCUGGCGGCGUGCCUAAUACAUGCAAGUCGAGCGAACAGACGAGGAGCUUGCUCCUUUGACGUUAGCGGCGGACGGGUGAGUAACACGUAGGUAACCUACCUAUAAGACUGGGAUAACUUCGGGAAACCGGAGCUAAUACCGGAUAAUAUUUCGAACCGCAUGGUUCGAUAGUGAAAGAUGGCUUUGCUAUCACUUAUAGAUGGACCUGCGCCGUAUUAGCUAGUUGGUAAGGUAACGGCUUACCAAGGCAACGAUACGUAGCCGACCUGAGAGGGUGAUCGGCCACACUGGAACUGAGACACGGUCCAGACUCCUACGGGAGGCAGCAGUAGGGAAUCUUCCGCAAUGGGCGAAAGCCUGACGGAGCAACGCCGCGUGAGUGAUGAAGGCCUUCGGAUCGUAAAACUCUGUUAUUAGGGAAGAACAACCGUGUAAGUAACUGUGCACGUCUUGACGGUACCUAAUCAGAAAGCCACGGCUAACUACGUG